UGCGUCUACGCAUGCGUAUUUCCUCUGAAUGGUGCAACGUUCAGGCUCUUGUUGAGUCGGAAUGUGUAUAAUCCAGGUUUUCAAGCAGGCUGAGAGGAGGGCAGUGGAGAUGGCAUUCUCUGAGGAUCUGGUGGUUCUGAAGGCAAACUGGGGAUGGUCCAGGCUGGCUGGGAGGUUGUUCUUUAUGUGCUGAAGAACGAGUUUCUCAAAGCACUUCAUCAGAAUGGGGACAGGCAGCGAAAGCAGUGAGACCAUCACCAGACAGUUAAGAUCAUCCCAGGUGAUACGGCCAACUUCAACUGCCGCCAGGGUAGUUGAGAGGGACACAUGGGUCCAUGCAUCACAGUGCGAAGUGUUUCCCCAGCGAGGAUCCCCUCCAACAACACAGACAAUGGCUGCAGUGCUCACCACCGUCCUGGUCAGCACAGCUAGGGUACUCCAACACCAGCUCAACAAGAUGGCAGACGUUUUUCUACAAGGAGCUCUCAACAAACAGACUCCACUAGUACUCAUAUAACCACAACACUGACACAGAUUAUAGAUUCAUUUGCACUCACCAGUCGAACUGAUGUCAUUUACACUGAUUUUCACAUUCACACUGUUUCACACAAGGAAGGAAAAUAACUGUCAUAACCAGUGAAGAUGCAAGAAGAGGAUGCAGAGGGGAGACGUAACAUUGGCAUGUUAUCAACGCAGGAGGAAGAGGACAUAAGAAGAGGGAUUCAGAAAAACCACAAGUAAACCAUGCAACCAAGAGAACACCACCUUACACAUUGCACACCCACUCAAGCCCCCUCCCAAUCAAUAGAGGAGGUUAGAACUGAUUUGGCCACGCUGUGAACAUGAAUUAGGAUUAUACACAGCAGAUCCAGAAAUGUUGACUCUGGUAGUAGAAAACUCAGUCAUUCUCUAUUUAUAUUUUAUUUUUUGUUUGUUUUCUUUUUCCUUCCACAUUUACCUCAUUUGUUUUGAAUCACAGUUUCACCAGCAAGACAAAAAUGGAAUUCAAGGGAGGGAAUAAAUUUAGGCACCUAGAGUUUUGUGGGAUAAAGGGAACAA